CCUACGGGUGGCAGCAGUGGGGCAUAUUGGGCAAUGGGCGCAAGCCUGACCCAGCAACGCCGCGUGAAGGAAGAAGGCUUUCGGGUUGUUAACUUCUUUUCUCAGGGACGAAGCAAGUGACGGUACCUGAGGAAUACGCCACUGCUAACUACGUGCCAGCAGCCGCGGUAAUACGUAGGUGGCAAGCGUUAUCCGGAUUUACUGGGUGUAAAGGGCGUGUAGGCGGGACUGCAAGUCAGAAGUGAAAACCACGGGCUCAACCUUGGGCCUGCAUUUGAAACUGUAGUUCUUGAGUACUGGAGAGGCAGACGGAAUUCGUAGUGUAGCGGUGAAAUGCGUAGAUAUUAGGAGGAACACCAGUGGCGAAGGCAGUCUGCGGGACAGCUACUGACGCUGAGGCUCGAAAGCGUGGGGAGCGAACAGGAUUAGAUACCCUUGUAGUC
rnacentral:rRNA from 1 species